CCUACGGGAGGCAGCAGUGGGGAAUUUUGGACAAUGGGCGCAAGCCUGAUCCAGCCAUGCCGCGUGCGGGAAGAAGGCCUUCGGGUUGUAAACCGCUUUUGUCAGGGAAGAAAUCCUUUGGGUUAAAUACCUCGGAGGGAUGACGGUACCUGAAGAAUAAGCACCGGCUAACUACGUGCCAGCAGCCGCGGUAAUACGUAGGGUGCGAGCGUUAAUCGGAAUUACUGGGCGUAAAGCGUGCGCAGGCGGUUAUGCAAGACAGAUGUGAAAUCCCCGGGCUCAACCUGGGAACUGCAUUUGUGACUGCAUAGCUAGAGUACGGUAGAGGGGGAUGGAAUUCCGCGUGUAGCAGUGAAAUGCGUAGAUAUGCGGAGGAACACCGAUGGCGAAGGCAAUCCCCUGGACCUGUACUGACGCUCAUGCACGAAAGCGUAGGGGAGCGAAACAGGAUUAGAUGCCCUGGUAGUCCACGCCCUAAACGAUGUCAACUGGUUGUUGGACGGCUUGCUGUUCAGUAACGAAGCUAACGCGUGAAGUUNACCGCCUGGGGAUCGGCCGCAAGGUUGAAACGUUAAGNGAUUGACGGNUGAGACGAGCGACGCGACGACGAGGGAGGAGG
rnacentral:rRNA from 1 species